rnacentral:sRNA from 2 species
CCUGCCGUCACUGGGGAGUAGCCGCUCUGCGACCGCCAGAGGCCUGCGUCAACAUGCUUGGCAGUUUUGCCAUGGCGCAGGCGGUUUCCGGACUUGGCAAGACCUUUGACCAGGGUGCCUCCGACUCGGCCGGGGAUGCGCCGUGGUCAUUCGUCUUUGCUCCGGCCGGGAACC